UUAUGAGAACUCAAUACUUGCAUUUCUUGCUAAGACCGAAGGAAACGUCCGAACCAAAACACAAGGCAAAUGCUGCAAGACGCCAUGUAGUCGCCAGCUGAGGCAUACACAUCUAAGAAACGGCCUGGUUUGAUUCAUCUCCUCCUGCAAGAGACACAUUUAGUCCCGAGCUCCAUCUUCGAUCCGCGGGCCACAACGAAGAAGAAUCCUCCCUAAAGACA
rnacentral:lncRNA from 1 species